UAUGGGAGAAGAAGGUACUGGACCUAUUAU
rnacentral:piRNA from 1 species